AAAAAUUUCAUUAAAAGCUAGUUUCCUCCCACUUUUUUAAAUUUAACCAAAAUACCUUACAUUAAUUGAUUUUAUUUCUUUUUUUUAUUCUGUUAAUUUUUCGUCUUUAUGUUAAUUAUAAUUAAAAUAUUUUUCCUUAAUCGCAUUGAUUCACAUUAUUUAGAUUCCAUUUAUUUUUCAGAAAAUAUUUUCCUUGAAAAUAUUUUUUUCAUUUUUUAGCGUUUGGGCACUCAAAAAAUGGGUCAACGAAAAAUAUUU
rnacentral:misc_RNA from 1 species